CAGCAGCACCGAUCUCAGUCCCUUCCUUCACUUCGCCACAUUCCGGAGCCCGGCUCCUCCGCCCUCCCCCAGGUCCGGUCCCUCUCCCGGCAGGCGGGAGGCCGCUCUUACCGUCAGGUCGGAACUCAAACUCCAGGAACUCAUGACCGAACUUGCCUUUGUGACCCACGUAGUAACGCAGGUAAAAGUCACUCUCCAUGGCCCACAAGGGACAAUCGAGAGCGAACUUUAGGAGCAGAUCACACUACCAGGAUCUGCGCCCUAGACUGACGUAGUGGUGGCGCGUGGAAGUGACGUCAAACCGCCGCGCCGUUAACAGGUUUUCGCUCUCUGGAGGCGGGAACGAGAUCCCACGCCCCCUGUUCCUGAGGCGAGAUCAAGCUCGGCGCUCCUCCUUUCCGGAAGUCAAGUGCUCUGCAAGUUCACCAAGAUGAUGUCAGUACAGCUAGUGAAAUGGAGCACACCUCCUUCAGUCCCUCGGCCUCUGGAAGAAGCUAGGUUGCCGAGACACUGAGUACAGAAGCUAACGGAACUCAGAGUGACGUGACAAGAGCAGAAAUGGUGACCCCCGUGAAAGGGUCAUCUGGCCCCCAAAGGAGUCAUGACCCACAGGUUGAGAACUGCUGUCUAGAGGCUCAGCCUUCAGGUGCUUCAGAGGAAAGUCAACCUGAGUCCUCACAGAGAGCUGAACUUUAAGAGGACUUCUGGCACUGUGUACUAUCUGUAUACUGACCUAAACCACAGGUCAGAAAGCUCAGGCAGGUGUCAUAACAGCCAUGGACAAGCUGAAAAGCUUCUUGCUGGCUCACCAAGUACUCAGGAGUAGCCGGAGGUGAAAAGAUCUACCUUUUCCCACCACAUGUCUGCGCAAACUGUGGCAUCUAUUUUCUGAAUGAAGUUUCGGAAGGUGUCUCUGAAAACUAGAUAUGCCUCUUGUGGGCUGUUUUAAAAUAAUUUUGUUUUUUAUGUAUUUGAACAAUAGUCAUGGGUGUGCCUCUUCUCUACAGAUUCUUUUUUUCUUUCAUACAAACAUACACACAUAAACACAGAGUCUGUGCAGUGGGCCAGUCAUACCAAAAAUAAAUACUCUCACUUCUCUAACUUAUCUAUAGAGCUAACCUUGCUUUUGAAAUAUGUUAAUAAAUAAUCUAAAUGA